rnacentral:rRNA from 1 species
AUACGUAGGUGACAAGCGUUAUCCGGAUUUACUGGGCGUAAAGGGAGCGUAGGCGGGAGCUUAAGUCAGCGGUUAAAUGGUGCGGCUCAACCGUGCCCUGCCGUUGAAACUGGGUUUCUUGAGAGUGCAAGAGGCGGAUGGAAUUUAUGGGGUAGCGGGGAAAUGCUUAGAUAUCAUGAAGAACUCCGAUUGCGAAGGCAGUCCGCUGGGGCACGUCUGACGCUGAUGCUCGAAGGUGCGGGAAUCAAACAGGAUUAGAUACCCUGGUAGUCCGCACGGUAAACGAUGAUUACCCGCUGUCGGCGGCAGACAGUCGGCGGCCAAGCGAAAGCGAUAAGUAAUCCACCUGGGGAGUACGCCGGCAACGGUGAAACUCAAAGGAAUUGACGGGG